rnacentral:rRNA from 1 species
GAUGAACGCUGGCGGCGUGCUUAACACAUGCAAGUCGAACGGAAAGGCCCAAGCUUGCUUGGGUACUCGAGUGGCGAACGGGUGAGUAACACGUGGGUGAUCUGCCCUGCACUUCGGGAUAAGCCUGGGAAACUGGGUCUAAUACCGGAUAGGACCACUUCUUGGAUGUUGUGGUGGAAAGUUUUUUCGGUGUGGGAUGAGCUCGCGGCCUAUCAGCUUGUUGGUGGGGUAAUGGCCUACCAAGGCGUCGACGGGUAGCCGGCCUGAGAGGGUGUACGGCCACAUUGGGACUGAGAUACGGCCCAGACUCCUACGGGAGGCAGCAGUGGGGAAUAUUGCACAAUGGGCGCAAGCCUGAUGCAGCGACGCCGCGUGGGGGAUGACGGCCUUCUGGUUGUAAACUCCUUUCGCUAGGGACGAAGCGUUUUGUGACGGUACCUGGAGAAGAAGCACCGGCUAACUACGUG